CUGAAAAAAAUUCUUAAAAAAUCAUUUCUUUCUCCGAUUUCACGUAAAUUAUACGUCAAUUGUAAAUGAAUAAAAAAGUAAACUGUUAAUCAUAAUUGAUUAUAUUUUAAUUUGACUUUGUACAUUUAUAUUGACACAAUUGUACUUAAUGAUUAGACAAAACUUCAAAAAUGGUCCUUGCGGUUUCCGAAAAUAUCAAGUUUAGUCCCUAAGUUCAAAAAAACCUCACAGAUGGUCCAUGUGGUUUCAAAACUUUUAACAAAUGGUCCUUCCGCCUAACUCCGUCAGCUUUCUACCGUUAAAUAGGGACAUUUUCGUCAUUUCAAUGCAUAGGGACCAUUUAUGAGGUUUUCUCUAUUUAAAAAAAAGAAAAAAUAUAUAAUUAUUUAAUUAAAGGGCCUCUCUCUCUCUCUCUCUUCCAAGUGCAUCGCUACUGGUAUUUGCUUUUUAAUUUUUUCCCUAAAAAACUAGACUUCCAUACACCCCUCUCCUUACUGCCUUCUCACAUUCAUUCAAUCGAGUACCUUCCACCUCUAACAACCAAAAAAAUAUAGGGGUGAGAACAUUGGUUUGUACAUGGGGUGAAUCAGGUUUUUGGGUUUCAAUCGAUGCAUCAAAUGGCGCCAUGGACAAAAUGAAGCAAAAUUCUGCAAAUUAUAGCAGGCACGAAGUACACACACACCUUUUGUGUUUUUCUUCUCAUGUAUACCUCCGAGAUCCUAAAAUCAUGAAGGUCCAUCUCUGUAAACAUACGCCAAUCUCUCCAUGAUUUCCGCUGCAAAUUAUCUGAGUGUGUUAGGGUUACUACUCAAGAAUAUGGGCUUAACCGGGACAACUGACAUUGACAUUUUGGUUGAGAUAUCAAGCAUUCAAACCCUAAGCUUUGCGAACAACGAUUUCGGAGGAUCGUUGCUUGAUGUGAAGAAAUUGAUCUGUUGAGGAGUAUUUAUUUAUCGAAUAAAAACUUUUCGGGGGUGAUUGGGAACAAUUUUUUUUGCUGGAAUGAGUUCGAUGGUGAAAAUUGAAGUUCAGAGCAAGAAAUUUAGUGGCUAGAUUCCUGAAUUGCUUAUAGAGAUAGUAGAUUUUGAACAUAAAAGUUUGAUUUUGCCACUGAUUCGACUAAGUGGGGUUGUGAGGGAGUUUGGUGGGUUUUUUGUUCAUCUAGUGAAAUGAAGAAGAUAACACGCGAUGAAAUAUCACUUGUUUGUGUUUUGUGUUUGAUGAUGAAUAGGGAGGAGAGAUUAUUGAAUAUAAGAGGCAUCUUGUUUAGAAGAUAACAACUAUUUUUCUUAUUAUUUUCACGAAUUGCUAUCAGAUGACGGCUUUGGUGGUGGUUUUCGGCGAGAUUUGCGGCUGCCAGCUGUUCCGGUGAGAAUAAAGCAUGUGGCAAACAGAAUAUAUGGCAAAGGCGGUGAGGAUGAACUAGAUGAGGGAUAGAAGAGGGUGACAGGUCAGAUAGCAAUUUUGGUAGUGGUUUCCCGGAUAUGAAAUUUCUCGCCACUCCUCCCAUCCACGGAUCUCUUGCCAAUUAGGUCGUGCAUCCAGUGGAUUUAUGUUUCAAACUGUGGGUAUCCAUCAGAUUUAAUAAACUUAGGAUAUGGAAGGAGAAGUGGAAUUGAUACAGAAAGCCAUGGGAGGUGAAGUAGAUGUGAGCUUUGAUUGUGCAGGUUUCAACAAGAGAAUGGCAACGACUCUCACCACCACACGUGCCGACGGCAAAGUGUGUCUGGUAGGGAUGGGCCACCAUGAGAUGACUGUUCCACUUACGAGAGGUGUGAAGUUUACAUCGGGAUUUUAGAGAGAGAGAGAGAGAGUGUGUGUGUGUGUGUGUGUGUUUGGGACCCUUUAAUAUUAAAUAGUUAUAUUUUUUCUUUUUUUUUAUAAAAAAAAUAAGGCAAAUCUUCAAAAAUGGUCCCUGUGGCAGUGAAAUGACAUAAA